GUCAAGAAACGUAGACCCCGACACACAGAGUUCGAAAUGACGCUAUCCUAGUAUGAGGAUGGAAAUGUAUUGCUGGUCCUGAGGGAGGCUGAACCUAAUGUUAUCUUAAGAGAGUCAGUUUUAUCAGAAUGACCAGACACAAGCCAAGUCAAAAAGCACCAGAGAGCAGACAGAACGUGCAAAGCGUGCCAGGCUGAGCAUGCCAGCUAUCAGAGAAAUCAAG